UAGGGAAUCUUCGGCAAUGGACGAAAGUCUGACCGAGCAACGCCGCGUGAGUGAAGAAGGUUUUCGGAUCGUAAAACUCUGUUGUUAGAGAAGAACAAGGACGUUAGUAACUGAACGUCCCCUGACGGUAUCUAACCAGAAAGCCACGGCUAACUACGUGCCAGCAGCCGCGGUAAUACGUAGGUGGCAAGCGUUGUCCGGAUUUAUUGGGCGUAAAGCGAGCGCAGGCGGUUUCUUAAGUCUGAUGUGAAAGCCCCCGGCUCAACCGGGGAGGGUGAUUGGAAACGGGGAGACUUGAGUGCAGAAGAGGAGAGUGGAAUUCCAUGUGUAGCGGUGAAAUGCGUAGAUAUAUGGAGGAACACCAGUGGCGAAGGCGGCUCUCUGGUCUGUAACUGACGCUGAGGCUCGAAAGCGUGGGGAGCAAACAGG
rnacentral:rRNA from 1 species